ACCAAGGAGUCUAACAUGUGCGCGAGCCGCGGGGCAGUACGAAACCCGUAAGGCGAAAUGAAGGUGAACGCCGGCGCGGUCCGGCGGAGGUUGGAUCCCGUCCCGUCGGGGCGGGCGCACUACCGGCCGAUCUUCUCCGCCCUGUCGGCGAGGUCGAGCGAGAGCGUGCAAGUCGGGACCCGAAAGAUGGUGAACUAUGCCUGAGGAGGUUGAAGCCAGAGGAAACUCUGGUGGAGGACCGUAGCGAUUCUGACGUGCAAAUCGAUCGUCAAAUUUGGGUAUAGGGGCGAAAGACUAAUCGAACCGUCUAGUAGCUGGUUCCCUUCGAAGUUUCCCUCCGGAUAGCUGGGCGCUCUGCCCCAGUUUUAUCUGGUAAACGCGAAUGAUUUAGAGGCCCUUGGGGGGCGAACCGCCCUUCACCCUUUUUUCAACUUUAAAUUGGGAA
rnacentral:ncRNA from 1 species